CACAUUGCAAGUUUCCUACUUACAGGAAAAGCAUGAAGCAUUUAACCCCCCCUCCCCAAACCCUUCGUAUUUGCCAGUCAGAGGGUGCUUUCAGGACUUGGCUACGACAUUCUGUACAUUUUUUGUCUGGAGCGGAUUGCAGUCGUUAAUGUAAAGGGAAAUGUUGGGCUUUUUUUUCUGGGGCUCUUUUUCAAUUAUUCCCUGGAAAUACCCAGAGAUCAGGGCUUGCUUCCAUUGCCUGAAUGUGUUGAGUCUGGUGGCAGCGAUUGGGUGGACUGCUGUAUACAAAUAACUGGUUUCCAAAAUAUGUCACUGGGUGGAAAAUACACUAACGUUAAGUUUUGUUUUUGCAACAAAUUUUAACACAACCUAGCAACCUCUAUCAACAGAAUGUUUUCUAUUAGUGAGAAAGGCUGCGGAGGUAUCUGCUGCGGCAGAACGUCAGAAUAAAUAAAUAAAUACGUCCCGUGCCAGUACUCCUCCAGUCAGAAGAAUCGGAACCAAAUAGUUUUUACUUGAAGUGAGAAUACCAUCAGUGAGAAGAUCACAGCCAUGCUGAAUUCAUUACUGCAGUAGUCACACAAAACCACGGAUAAAAUUUCAAUAACUGCAGGCCACAGUUGAGUAAACAGUUGCACUGAAACUUAA